rnacentral:lncRNA from 1 species
AAUGUUUUUAGGUUUUAUAAUAUUACCUUUAAACCAAUCAGACUCUCCUUAUUAUCUCAAAAAAUGCAUUUAAAUUCCAGUUCCAGUGUGAAGAGUAACUCAAAAUUGUAUGUAUAACUUAUUGACAACAGGUUUCUUUAUCCAGCUAUAAAACAUUAAAUGACCUGAAUAAAUACCAACCCAACUUGUUACUUCUGUACAAAUCUGAGACUUUUGUUACAGAUGAUUUUAGUUUGGAGAACACCAACUUGGCAAAGUGUUCCCAUAAAUUUUACAUCUAACUAAGACAACCUUGUCAUUUUGCAAUAAGUAAUUUCUUUCUUCCUUUUUUUAACUUUGAAGAAAUUUUUGAUCCAAGGUUUCUUAUUUGGGCCAUUGGUAGAGGUUAUCUAAUUUGUACUUUGGCCACAUUUGAGUACUGAGCCUAAUGAGGUGUUUGAUUUUGAGACCAUUAUGGGAAUAGAGGGUUUUAAAAUUGGCAGAGACAAGGCAAGUGGGUGUCUCUGGGAAUUGACUGAGCAGUUCCCAUCUUUGGAGAGGCUUGAGGGGAGAGGAGAGGAUUAGAUAAAUACCACGCCAGGUGAGGUCACAGCACUGGGUCAGACAUGGAGCCCUUUGGUGACAGAAUCAGGAUCUGUGGUGUAGGAUCCGAGGGGUUUUCCACCUGUGAGCAGUCUGAGAGGCAGAGGGGACAUGGACUCUGAGGAUCCCUUCUGCUCCAGAGGCCUCCCUAAGGGGGAGGACAGGAGUAGGCUGGGAAGAUUGGAGGGG